rnacentral:lncRNA from 1 species
AUUUGUUUUGGAACUUCUGAUCGAGAAAUUGCCACAAUCUUAGCUUAUUAUAAACAACAACUGAAACUAGGGAUGGCAGAAAAAUUCUUACCCGCGGGUAUCCGCGGGUAAAAUUCGCUACGGGUAUUUAGUACCCGUGGGUAGCGAGUAGCGGGUAUUUUAAUACUCGCUUGUUAACGGGCCAGGUUCAGGUAUCACCCUAUUCGUACCCGUGGGUACCCGCUACCCGUUUGAGAGGUGAAAUUACACUUUUAUCCUGUUAAGUUUUCUUACUUUCGAACACUCUCUGCCUUUACCUCUGCCAUCAAAUUCUUCAAACCCUAACUUCCUCUGAAAUCCCGAAUGCUGAGCUUACCUUUCUCUUCUCACCAAAUCCACAUACCUUAACUUUCUUUCUGUGCUGCUGGUUUUCUUGUGCGAAGAGGAACUAGAUCCAGCUGCUGGUUUUCUUUCUCACCAAAUACAGCUGAGGUUUUCUUUUCUUCCCUCUUUUUAAGGUACUUUUUUUCUUCUCAUUUCCUUCAUCCUUUUCUUUCUUUUUUAUCAGGAUGUUAGCAAAGCUCAAUAGGUUAACUUCAUUUUGAUUCUCUUCCCAUUCUUCUCCUUCUAGCUUUAAAAUUUCAAAGAUUAGUAUUACUGUAUCCUUCCUUAAUAUUUAUGAUUUUCGGGUUUAUCAGGAAUAUGCUUUAUCAUUAUUUAUAUAGGGCUUCCUAAUUGUGCCUGGUAAUGCACAAGUUUUGAUUUUUCCUUUUGAGUCCAUCCUUAUUUGUGUAAAGAACGUGUUGCUUGUCCUUGGGGAUGUUGAGAAGGACUUUGGAUUUGGGGUUAGUUCCCCUUUAUUGUUGAUGUGGUCUUUUCCCUAUUAAUGAAAAUGAGUGUUUUUAUUUUUACAUUGGUGUGGGGUUGGGGCCUGCUUUUGUUUGAAUGUGUAAAACCUUUUUCUGCUUUCUUAAGGUGUUCUACCUAAGUAGAAAUCAUUGAUAAUUUUG